rnacentral:rRNA from 1 species
GACAGAGGGGGCAAGCGUUGCUCGGAAUUACUGGGCGUAAAGAGCGCGCAGGCGGCUGGCCAAGUCCGAUGGGAAAGCUUCCGGCUUAACUGGAAAAUUGCAUCGGAAACUGGUCGGCUUGAAGGUGGGAGAGGGUAGCGGAAUUCCAGGUGUAGCGGUGAAAUGCGUAGAUAUCUGGAGGAACACCGGUGGCGAAGGCGGCAUCCUGGACCGGCAUUGACGCUGAGGCGCGAAAGCCAGGGGAGCAAACGGG